rnacentral:rRNA from 1 species
GAUCAAUCCGUGCGAGGAGGCGCGGUAAUACGGAGGAUCCAAGCGUUAUCCGGAAUCAGUGGGUUUAAAGGGUCCGUAGGCGGCCUUAUAAGUCAGUGGGGAAAUCUCACGGCUCAACCGUGAAAUGGCCAUUGAUACUGUAGGGCGUGAAUUAUUGGGAAGUAACUAGAAUAUGUAGUGUAGCGGUGAAAUGCUUAGAUAUUACAUGGAAUACCGAUUGCGAAGGCAGGUUACUACCAAUGGAUUGACGCUGAUGGACGAAAGCGUGGGUAGCGAACAGGAUUAGAUACCCUAGUAGUC